ensembl:lncRNA
GCGGGGAUUGGUUGCCAUGGCAGUGACGUCAAAGAGUGCCGGGGACAGGGAGCGGAGACACGGAAAAGGUCAAACUAAAGGCGAGGAGGAGACGCGGCUGGGACGCGGUCUCCGGGCAGCUCGGGCCGGGCCGGGUUGGGCCGCAGGCGGCCUCGUGAGCCGGGGCGGCGGCUGCAGGCAGCGGGGUGCCGUGGGCGGGCAGGGCAGGGCCGGGCGGGGCGAGGCGAGGCGAGGCGGCCGCUCCUCGCCCUCUGGGCACGGCCGCCCCCCGCCGCAUCCCCUCACAGUGCUGGAGUGGGGUUCUGUGCUUUACAUGCCCCAGGGCAUGGCUCAAUCUGGCAAACCCUGGAGUGAAGCUGCUUUCAGCGUGUGGAGACUGAGUGCCACCGACAGCCUGUUGUCUGUUCGUGCUCAGAGAGUUAUGUGGAAGGACAGGAGUGACUCAGUAAUAGGAAGUAUUAGUUGCACUGAGGCAAAACCAGGAGUUAGGUGGCAAAACUUGCUCUCCUUUGGAGUCCAUUUGAAAUAUAGUGACUGAUGAAGGCCAAGGAGCAAUUCUGCAAUUGUUUAUUCGCUGUAUGUGUCCAUGACCUGGAAGAAGCGUGCAGGAAGGGGCUAAAGCAGAAAUGCUUCUGAGAUGGCACAAAGUGUGUGUUGGAGGCAGACAGGAGGAGUGGGCAGAUGGCAGUCAGAACAAAACAGGGAGUUCAAUAACUUGGGACAGCAGUGAGCUGCUCUAACUGGAGAACACCCUUCUAACCAUAAAGGGGAGCUGCUCUGUCUAAGAUUGAGUGUAAGACAUAAAUGAUCCUCCAAAGAAGCUUUUCUCAAAAAAAAAAAGAGCUUAUUUUCUGAAGACAACUUUGUCACUUGAACUAGAGAUGCUUCUUACCUUGACUGAAAAGGCAGACUAUGGGCACAAACUGGAAGACUCCUCAAGGUAAAAUAGGAACAUGUCAUGUGGAGAUACCUGUAUCCUAUUUAAAAUGAUUUGUUUUAAUACUUUGUAGUAAAGUGUCUCCAGGACUCUACCCAUAGAUUAGCCAACCUGGUUUUGGUGCAGCUUUUUCCAGGGAAUAAGACUAAAAUUCCUUUCCUGUAGGAGAAACCAAAUUAGAGUUGAAUAGAGGAAGCUAUAAAAUCAGACCUAUUUACUGCAGGCAGCAAUAUUUGAGUUAAAUGUUAAACUCACUGAAUUAGUGUAAUCAACAUUUGACACCUCAGAAGAGGUAAUACUACUGUGGGAAUGAGGAAGGGCAUCAGCUAUUUGUGUGAUAUCAGACCUAAUAUGUAGCAUGUAUUCAUAUUUCUCCUUAAUUUGGAGAUCCAGGUAUUCAUCUUUCUCUUGU